AGGGAGGGAGGGAGGGAGGGAGAAAGAGAGGGCUUUUAAUCUGCCUGUGGAUGUGGCUUUACACCGUGAGAGGCAGGCUGAUGUGGGAGAUGAGAUCAUUACUAUAAUUAAACCCUCUGUGGCGUUUAUCAAACAGCUUAUUUGAUUUGACAAUGUGAGAUGAGGCAUCAUAAGAGGACUGGUAAACCAGCUUUUUUCACUGAUCAGACUGGCAUGCUCUCUGCCAGCUGGAGAAGCGGGAACUCUACGCACCAUGAGUCCAGUGCUGCUCUCCAGCGCUCUGUGUGCAACUGCAAUGCUGACAGAUGGCACUGCCCAGGAUGUUGGUUUCAUGCCAUGUCACAGUCUUUAGAGGGACGAAAGCCGUACUGUCUGUUCAAAGUGAACAAAGGCUUAACGACAAAAAACAUCACUGUAUUAACAAAGCUAAAGGGCUUAUCUGAACAAAACACACUUUUAGAGGUCUUAGAGAGGGGCACGCCGAGAGAAUCAGGUCUGUUACUUAAUGUUGUGUAUUACAUGUUACAUGCAUGGCUGUCAUGUGUGAAUGUCAUAUCUAACGUAGGCCCUUAUCUAACGCCUUUGAAUAACUAGCCAUCCAUAAUUAUAGCAACUGCGAUGACUAUUAAAAACCCUUUACUAGCAGAGAAAAUAAUGACCUUCCGUGUCGUUCAGUGCCUGUUCGUAUUGUAUUUUUUUCAAGGGUAAACUAAAAUAUACUUUCAUGUAAUUAAUAUUCAAACUUGUAUGUCAUGUAUUUAAAUGUAUUUGUAAUUAUGCAUUUGUAAUGGCAAAGUUGCAAUUUAGUACAUGUAAACUGUAUUACUUUUUCUAUAUUACAUUUUUAUCAUUCUUAUGUUUAAAGCGGUCCAUAAGAGACGGUGGUCUUGUCUGUGUACAGCUCAAUGUGAAAUUAGAUGAAACAAUUCCGUGAAUGGAUUUGAGGAUUUGACUCGGAGUGAAAUUGGCAAAUGUUACAUCUCUGUGUUGUUGGAGUGAGAUUAGAAAAUAAUUUAAGGCUGUAAUCAUUCGGAAUCCCUUUAUAUGAAGAGAAGAGAUUAAGAAGAGAGGGAAUUUUUCACUUUUGUCUUAUAUAUUCAAUAGACAGUCCCAUAAAAGCACAGAAAAAUAUUGCUCUGUGCAACUAAACAAUUUUAUAUAGCCUAAUAAUGUUAUGAAGUUCACUUUUUUUCUGAGUUUUUGUACUUUGCCUUGCUUCAGCAACAAAACUGAGUUUAUUAAACGAAAGGUAAUGAGAAUUUAGACUUCAUUAUUUUGUAAUGAAUAUUUACGCUCUUGUUUUUCCAAGUUUCUCAGUAAUUUUGCACCACUUUUUUCCCACUCUUUUAACUGUCUUUUUUUCUGAGUUUUUGUACUUUGCCUUGCUUCAGCAACAAAUCUGAGUUUAUUAAACGGAAGGUAAUGUGAACUUUGUGUAUUUUGAGUAUUUUGAAUGAAAGUUUAUGCUCUUGUUUUUACAAGUUCUUCUGUCAUCUCGAGCACUUUGCACUCAUUUGUAUUUUUUCCACUCUGUUAACUGUCUUUUAGGUGCGCACAUGUCACAAAGUGUCGGAAAGACAUCUCUCAUCUAGAAUUAUCUCCAUUGUAAAAAAUGUUCGCUGUUGUAAAUCAGUCUUUUUGAAAUGUAUUUAUCAUUUUGCAGAUGAACCUUUUGAAACAAUCAAUUUGUCAUUUAAGCGUAAUUGCUUUCUUUUCUUAAAAUGUAAAUUUAAAGCUAAGAAAUGAGAGGGGGCAAUUAUCAGAACAUAUUCUUGAUAGCUGCAUUUUUUAUGUAAAGAUUAGGGUUUAAUUUCACUGCAUCAAAUGACAUAUGGGAGAAAAGAAAACUCAAGUGUUGUCAGACCUCUGCAGUGAAAAAGAAUACAAAACAUUCUCUGAUGCCGAGUGUCUCUCUGUGGAUCUCUCAAGGAGAAAAAAAAAACACUUUAAUUUCCACUCAUCUCACGUUUCUUUUUAGAUUUGGGGUUUUAAAUGGAUGCUGAUCAGUGCUUAAGCAAACCACCUUGAAUAAUAAUAGCCACAGUGGUAUGUUUAAUGAAGGCCUCUGGCUGUGUGGCUAUGACUUCUGUUGUCACACAUGUCAUGAUCAAAGGCAGGGGCAGGAGAAGCACAUGAAUGGCCCUCAAUUAGGUGGAGCGGGACUCACCAAUCAUCCUGUGCAUCAUUGUAAGAACAGGCAUUUGUAUUCCUUUCGCACAGGGCACUACAUACCACAACACAGCUGAAAAGCUUCACCUGAUAACACAUAAGCGAACACAAUAAAGUCAAAUGUUUGGGAUAGCUGCUUUUAAUA
ensembl:lncRNA